GUGGCGGACGGGUGAGUAACACGUGGGAACGUGCCUUUUGGUUCGGAACAACUCAGGGAAACUUGAGCUAAUACCGAAUGUGCCCUUCGGGGGAAAGAUUUAUCGCCAUUAGAGCGGCCCGCGUCUGAUUAGCUAGUUGGUGAGGUAAAGGCUCACCAAGGCUACGAUCAGUAGUUGGUCUGAGAGGAUGAUCAGCCACACUGGGACUGAGACACGGCCCAGACUCCUACGGGAGGCAGCAGUUAGGAAUCUUGCGCAAUGGGCGAAAGCCUGACGCAGCCAUGCCGCGUGAAUGAUGAAGGUCUUAGGAUUGUAAAAUUCUUCCAGCGGGGACGAUAAUGACGGUACCCGCAGAAGAAGCUCCGGCUAACUUCGUGCCAGCAGCCGCGGUAAUACGAAGGGGGCUAGCGUUGCUCGGAAUUACUGGGCGUAAAGGGCGCGUAGGCGGAUAGUUUAGUCAGAGGUGAAAGCCCAGGGCUCAACCUUGGAACUGCCUUUGAUACUGGCUAUCUUGAGUAU
rnacentral:rRNA from 1 species